ensembl:lncRNA
CCCGGUCUCCUCAUGGCCUCAUUCGCCAGGUCUCCUCAUGGCCUCAUUCGCCAGGUCUCCUCAUGGCCUCCUUCGCCAGGUCUCCUCAUGGCCUCCUUCACCAGGUCUCCUCAUGGCCUCCUGCUUUGUUCUGAGUCUUAGUACUCUGGCACCUGCCAAGGCUCACACAUGGAUCAAGUCACGGUGUUGACACAGCCUCCUCUCCUCCUCAUACAACACUACCUUUUUACUCUCACCUAUCACCUGUAUUGUCAGUCUCACUUGUGUUUUAAUACCAGACAGCCCAUCCCACUGCGGUUAGCCCCUUCUCCUAUGUGAUGUUAUAAGUCAUUUCCCAGUCUCAGAUAGAAAAAGCAUUGGUCAGUCAGUGUAUCCAACCACUGGAACAGUCACACAUGACAUAAGUUUAGUCAUCCAUUUGAUUGCUAACUAGUCAAAUAUUACAGCAAUAACGUACGUGUGGUCACAGUUAUGAGUUCCAAUGCCACGGUGCAAACAGUUGGAGUUUUAUCAGUCGUAUAUAGUUUUUUCUUCCCUCCCAAUACGCAGAGUCAUCGGCUUAGCCGAUCUAAUUGAGAUAAUUUGUUCACUUUAGCCUAACAAUUCUUCACUUCAGCCACUGUGCUUUCGACCUUGGGUUCCAGC